rnacentral:lncRNA from 1 species
AUAACGGAAAAGAAUAAAAAUAAGUUAAGGUGUAGACGAUGUCUGGGAAGUAUACUGUGAAUGGUCUUGUAGAGCUGGCACUUUCUAUUGGGGGCGGACCUAUUGUUAAAAAUAAUUUUGUUAGUACAACUUCAUUAUUGAGUUUGGAGAUUUUUGGUCGGCAGACUUACUUGUUGCUUGCAUCUUAUGGUAUAGAAAGUUGUUCGUGAUUCCGGGGAGCCUGAUCUGGGUGAGCAUCUGAUCGUGAUUCUGGGGGAGGGAGAGAAAGGAGUUUAGUAUUUUUGGAUAAUGUUGUGUAUUGUGUUGCAAAUAAUAAUGGAUUACCUGGUAAGUGAGGUAGACCGUUGUAUAUUUCUUUGUAGACUAUGUUUUUAACCCUUCCGAUCUUUUGAUCCUUUCUUUACAAAUAUUUGUACGGUCACGGGGCAAACUCUAGAAAUAAACAACAACAUGGAAUAAUUAUUUUCCUUUUUCAAAUUUAUUUUUAUAGAAAUUAUAGUUC